GGGAGAGGUAACUUCUGGCAUUUAGUGGAGGGGACUCAGAUACUUCUGCACAAAGAAGAAUUUUCCUGCCCAAGGUCACGUUAGUGUCCCUGAUAGAUCGUCUCUAGAGAAACACUCACAGACAACCUGAAGAGUGGAAGGCUCCAUGGAAGGAAACAAUGAGCAAGGGGACUUCUGGAGCACAGGACAGAGCAUGAAGGGUGGAGAAUGGACCUGGGCAGUGGAGGCAAAGGGGAAAAGACCAGCACCGCUGUCAAGGUCAAGCAGACCCUGGCCUAUCAAGACACAGAUGAAAUAAACAGAUUAUCAAAGAGAAGACAAAAUUAGCAAGAAGUUUCCAUUUUUUACUUGAAUUAAUUCAAAUGAGUUUUUCUUCCUUGCAAAACAAAAGGUCAAUUAAAAGAGCCAUGA